GGAAGGGCCAUGGAGGACUUUCAACCAAAGAUGAGCAUUUUCUUGAAUACUUAAAGAAUAAAUUGUGAAAAGUUUGGGCCACAGUUAGAACAUGGGUGAGGGAGGAGUCUCCUUUGCCAGGAGGACUGGCAAAGGGCCAGCUCACAGUGGAUAUUAUCAGCCAUGGCAAGUGCUUUACAAAUGACAAGAGACUUUUACUGAGGCCCAGAGAGAGCAGUACUUUGCCAAGUUUGGACUCAAACAUGGGUCUUUUGACCCUAAUUCCAGGUGUUUUCUCCCACAAUAAAGCUGCCU